rnacentral:tRNA from 1 species
GGGUAUAGCUUAUGGUACAGUACGUGCUUAGCAUGCCCGGGGUCCUGGGUUCAAUUCCCAGUACCUCCA